AGUCCUAACGUUGCAUUCUACAGGAUUUGGAAUUUCUAGAGAAUUGCCAUCCCAUAAACCAGAAAACAGCUUUGUUUUACAUUCCAUCUCUUAGAUUCCCAUUUUACUGCCUUUCAGAGGAACUUUAGAAAGUC
rnacentral:other from 1 species